UACGAAGGGGGCUAGCGUUGCUCGGAAUCACUGGGCGUAAAGGGUGCGUAGGCGGGUCUUUAAGUCAGGGGUGAAAUCCUGGAGCUCAACUCCAGAACUGCCUUUGAUACUGGAGAUCUUGAGUUCGGGAGAGGUGAGUGGAACUGCGAGUGUAGAGGUGAAAUUCGUAGAUAUUCGCAAGAACACCAGUGGCGAAGGCGGCUCACUGGCCCGGUACUGACGCUGAGGUGCGAAAGCGUGGGGAGCAAACAGGG
rnacentral:rRNA from 1 species